GACGAACGCUGGCGGCGUGCUUAACACAUGCAAGUCGAACGGUGAAGGGACCGGUUUUUGCUGGUUCUGGAUGAGUGGCGAACGGGUGAGUAACACGUGAGUAACCUGCCCCCUUCUUCUGGAUAACCGCAUGAAAGUGUGGCUAAUACGGGAUAUUCUGCGCCUGCUGCAUGGUGGGUGUGGGAAAGAUAUUGUUUCGGUGGGGGAUGGGCUCGCGGCCUAUCAGCUUGUUGGUGGGGUGAUGGCCUACCAAGGCGGUGACGGGUAGCCGGCCUGAGAGGGUGGACGGUCACACUGGGAAUGAGACACGGCCCAGACUCCUACGGGAGGCAGCAGUGGGGAAUAUGGCACAAUGGGCGCAAGCCUGAUGCAGCGACGCCGCGGGAGGGAUGGAGGCCUGCGGGUUGUAAACCUCUUUCGCCAGUGAAGCAGGCCUGUCCCUUUUGUGGGUGGGUUGACGGUAGCUGGAUAAGAAGCGCCGGCUAACUACGUG
rnacentral:rRNA from 1 species